CAGGCAGGAGACAGGUAAGUUAAUCUUUCUCUCAAAAUCGAGAAGGGUCUGACUGCAGAGCCGCAGAGCCGCAGUUUUACCCCUGCAGUUUCACCCCAGCAGUUUUACCCCGCGCAUGCGCAGUUUCACUAUAGCAGUUUUAUCUGCUCGUUUUGAAUAAGUUAUUAAAUUGUCUUCACUGCAGUCAGUUCAGCAGUGCUGUUGGACAAAUCAUUCUUUUAUUUAACAUAUAUUCAUGUCGCAGGAAACUUGCUAUAACAGCAGCACCAGGCCGUUGGAUCAAAAUGAAAAAAACAAAAA